GCCAGUGUGGCAUAGUGAUUGUAGCGUUGGACUGCAACUCUGCAGACCAAGGUUCAAUUCAUUGCUGGGGCA